CCUACGGGCGGCAGCAGUGAGGAAUAUUGGUCAAUGGACGAGAGCCUGAACCAGCCAAGUAGCGUGAAGGAUGACUGCCCUAUGGGUUGUAAACUUCUUUUAUAUGGGAAUAAAAUGUUCCACGUGUGGGAUUUUGUAUGUCCCAUAUGAAUAAGGAUCGGCUAACUCCGUGCCAGCAGCCGCGGUAAUACGGAGGAUCCGAGCGUUAUCCGGAUUUAUUGGGUUUAAAGGGAGCGUAGGUGGAUUGUUAAGUCAGUUGUGAAAGUUUGCGGCUCAACCGUAAAAUUGCAGUUGAAACUGGCAGUCUUGAGUACAGUAGAGGUGGGCGGAAUUCGUGGUGUAGCGGUGAAAUGCUUAGAUAUCACGAAGAACUCCGAUUGCGAAGGCAGCUCACUGGACUGAAACUGACACUGAGGCUCGAAAGUGUGGGUAUCAAACAGGAUUAGAUACCCGAGUAGUC
rnacentral:rRNA from 1 species